UACGUAGGGUGCAAGCGUUAUUCGGAAUUACUGGGCGUAAAGCGUGCGCAGGCGGCUUUGCAAGACAGAUGUGAAAUCCCCGGGCUCAACCUGGGAACUGCAUUUGUGACUGCAAGGCUAGAGUACGGCAGAGGGGGAUGGAAUUCCGCGUGUAGCAGUGAAAUGCGUAGAUAUGCGGAGGAACACCGAUGGCGAAGGCAAUCCCCUGGGCCUGUACUGACGCUCAUGCACGAAAGCGUGGGGAGCAAACAGG
rnacentral:rRNA from 1 species